CGGAAUGUAGCAAUACAUUUAGUGGCGAACGGGUGAGUAACGCGUGGAUGAUCUACCUAUGAGAUGGGGAUAACUACUAGAAAUAGUAGCUAAUACCGAAUAAGGUCAAUUAAUUUGUUAAUUGAUGAAAGGAAGCCUUUAAAGCUUCGCUUGUAGAUGAGUCUGCGUCUUAUUAGUUAGUUGGUGGGGUAAAUGCCUACCAAGACGAUGAUAAGUAACCGGCCUGAGAGGGUGAACGGUCACACUGGAACUGAGAUACGGUCCAGACUCCUACGGGAGGCAGCAGCUAAGA
rnacentral:rRNA from 1 species